UACGGGGGGGGCAAGCGUUGUUCGGAAUUACUGGGCGUAAAGGGCUCGUAGGCGGCCAACUAAGUCAGACGUGAAAUCCCUCGGCUUAACCGGGGAACUGCGUCUGAUACUGGAUGGCUUGAGUUUGGGAGAGGGAUGCGGAAUUCCAGGUGUAGCGGUGAAAUGCGUAGAGAUGUGGAGGAACACCAGUGGCGAAGGCGGCUUUCUGGUCUGUAACUGACGCUGAGGCGCGAAAGCGUGGGGAGCAAACAGG
rnacentral:rRNA from 1 species